rnacentral:lncRNA from 1 species
GUUUGGACUUCUGAGGAUCCAAAAGCCCAAGAAAAAAAUCUGAGUUCUCACGACAAAGUCACUUCCUGCUACAACACCUGGAAAAUGUCAUGACCCGAGCUAGUCUCACUUCAGAGUCCCUGGUUUCUAGUACGGUGCCUGACAGAUAGAUGACUUUCUUUAUAUGUUGCUGAAGACAGGCAGAGAGGAAGAAAGGAAGAGAGGAUAAAGGGAGGAAUAAACUUGAUAUAAGCAUCUUUGCAUAAUUAACAACUGGGUCAAAUUUUCUUCAUUUCAUUGAGAUUCUUGAUACAAGCCUCUGCUGAUGAAUUGGAUUCCAAAAAGAUAUUGUUGUCCAGGCCACACCAUACGGGACUUACCACUCCCAGUUGCUAACAUCUGCACGUAUUUGCCUGGAGGUCUCCUCUGGUCACCAGAUCCUACUCUGCCUGGGCCACAUGACAAGGUGAUGUGCUGAGGAACAAAAGCCCCCAGGAGUAUCCCUCAAGCAGUGUUGGACUGGAGUUGAGCAGGUCAUGAUCCACAUGAAAAACUGAGGGAAGACAUCCAGGACCUGCUGGAGAGCACAUGGAAAAAAGUUGGGACACAGAAAAGGAAAGCAGCAAGAGUCGGGCAGAGAUUGAUCCCCAAGGAACUUGGAAUACCAUGGGAAAGGUUAAUCGUCCUCGAAGAGAGAGAGAAACAAAAGAAAAAUGAAAAAAGGAAAGAAAUUUUCUCCACAAAGACUCAGAAAAGCUACAAUCCUAAGAAGUCAAAACUAUAAUCGGCUUGAGUUGAAGAAUCCAAGGAUCUUUACAGUUUUGUGACCUGUCCAAGGUUACACAGCUCACCUUUUCAUUUUGCACUGGGCCCAAGUUAUGUAGCCAGCCUGCUUAGAGAUCUCUACUUACCCCAGUUUUCUGAUUUAUAAAACAAAAAUAAUAAUAAUAUUGUUAAAUUAAAUGAAGCCUAAAGCUGCCUCCCUAUGUAUUUUUAAUUUGGCCUAAAGGUUUCUUCGUACAGAGUGAACUAUAACCUGACUAGAUGUGUGAUCUACUCUUGUGCCAAUCAUCAAGUUUUAACCAAUCGAAGGGAGCCAACUGCUUAAACCAUGUUCAAAUAAGGCAAAUGUCCAGCUGUAACCACUUCAGCUGUUUCUGUGCCUCACUUCUGUCUUCUACACAUCACUUUCCUUUUUCUAUCCAUAAAUGUUUUUUGAUCAUGCAGCAGCAUGAAGUUGAUCUGAACCUACUUUGGUUUGGGAGACUGCCCA